rnacentral:misc_RNA from 1 species
GUGAAGAUAAUUUACUGUGGGAAGGAGCUUGAAGAUGAUAAAUCUCUUUCUGCCCAAAAUGUGCCACCAAACUCUGUGCUGCAUCUUGUUCGUACCAGGAUACAUUUGUUGCCUAGGGCACAAAAGCUUCCUGGUGAGAACAAGUCCCUGCGUCCUCCUGGUGCAUUUAAAAAAAAAUCUGAUCUUUCCGCAAAAGAUGGCCAUGUUUUCUUAAUGGAAUACUGUGAGG